ensembl:miRNA aca-mir-5438 aca-mir-5438
UUUUUCAUCGGGAUGUUUUGUUAUACGGACAUCUUAUGAAGCAAGAGCUUUCUUUUGUGCCCAGAGGUGUUUGUGUAGCAGGGUUGGCGGAUGAAUGCAGC